AUCACAGCCAUUGUUCUGCCUCAGCCUCCGGAGUGCUGGGGUUACAGACGUGUACCACCACACCUAACAGGCAGAAUUUUUCAUUAGAACCCAUCUGGUUGGACCACCUGUCAACUCCCAGGACCUGAGAGCACCAUCCCCAAACUGCGUCACCAAUCACGUCUCCCUAUCACCUUGACCUGCUUCAGUAAGUCCAGAACUUCAGUAACUUCAUGCCGACAGACCUUUUGUGGCAUCCACAGGGCGACGUGAUCCCUUUAGAGGUAGGAGGGUGCAAACCAAGACCCAGAGAAGCCAAGGGACCUGCAGAGGGCCAUGUGACAGGUGGAGGCCACCGAGCUGGGACCCCAGUCCCUAUGCAAUCUCUGCUGCAAAGGCGAACGCCACGUGUGCUUGGUGGGUUUGCUGCUUAGCGGGGGUGGGUGGUGCUGCUGAGAUCCUUGCACCUCUAAUAGCAUCCAGCUGUGACUCUUGGCACGCCGUGGUCUCGGUUCUGAUUCGAUGUAGGCAUUCGUGCCCAGGGGAUGUUCCAGAAGAGGGCGAAGCUCCUUCCCCGGGCUUCUCCUUCGGGGAACACAAUGGUGGUGCUGAUAGAGCCGGGGGUGUGGGAUCCUUGAAGCAGCCAAAGAAUCCCAGCUUCUGGGGGCUGCCCGGCAGCAGCUCCUCUCCCCGGGUAUUUUUAGUUGCAUUUAAUUUGGCGGUGCUGAGCACUUUUGAUUUCACAAUGAUUAGUUAGAGCUUGUGCGCUGCUGUUUCUCUCCUUCCCACCCGCCUGUCUCCCCCAAGGGGACUGGGUGUUGUUUUGACUUUUAUGUGCUACAAUAAAAACUUUCAUUGUAGCAAAAUGUUUGCUCGUCAAAAUUAGCUUGGUUAAUUCCAAAGAAUUGCUUCAUCUUGGCUCCUCGGGCACCAGGGAUCUUUUUUACAAGACGAAUUGGCCACCAGCCAGCUAUCUCCGGGACAAUUCCUCUGUAGCGUUUAUCCCCCUGGAAUUUACCUUUGGAGAGGAAGACCAGCCCUCGCCUUCCAAAGACUCUGCAGGACGUGUGCCCAGGGCUCCGCAGGCAGCAAGAUGCAGAUCUCGUGAAGACCAGUGCAUCAGAGAGAAGUUAACAGACGUCACCUUUAAUUAUCCUGGGGCCUUCACAUGACCAACACCGGUACCCCCAGGAAGCCAGUGCUCUGGUGCCAAGUCCAGGCCAAGACGGACUCCAGCUGCCUUCCCAUCACCACCAGAUAGAUGUCUGUUGCCAAGGCGACCCCAACCAUCACUAGCAGAGUCUUCACCCACGUGGCUGGGGAGGCCCGGAUGAGAGGCCACAGGAGCAGCUGGCUAAGUGAAUGUAUAGCCAAAUAUUUCUGGAAAAGCGUGAGUUAAUGCUAUAUGAACACCCACCAUGUGCCUUACCCUGUGGCUGGCAUUUUGAAAGCAGUGGCUCUGUGACUCGGGACAAUUCAGCCCCACCAGCGUGCCUUUCUCAUCCGAGGGAUGGAUAGGAGGCUCGGAGAGGUUCAGGAACUCGCUCAAGGCUAUCAGCUGCCACCGAGAAGGUGGUGUUUGGCUGCAAAGCUCAGGAGUUUGUGCUCAGGAGUUUGGGAGCUGGGAUGAGGCGGCAGGUGAGUGUCUUCGACAUUGCGAGCUCUGUCUGCAGUGUGGGUGGUGCUGGGAGGAUCAAGGACGCAGGGCACAGGGGUGGGAGGAAGAAGUGAGAGCUGCUGAGUUGGCAGAUCCGUGUCCGCACGGCUGAGACACAAAGGGGUCUCUGUCCUGCUGUUGUUGUUCCUGCCCAGGUGUUAUCCCCCUGGGACCCUCACCUCUACCCCACCAAGCUCUCAUAUUACAGAAAAGGCACAUCUGACAUCUACUUUGGCUUGAAACCUUGUCCCCUCCAAAACAUGUUGAAAUCAAAUUGCCAUCGUGGCCGUAUGGAGGGACAGGACCCUCAAUGAGGCGAUUAGGUUAUGCGGGAUCUGUCCUUAGUCACUUUCUGAUCAUUAGGACAAAAUACCUGAUACCCGUGAUUUAAAGGAAGAGAGAUUUAUUUUGGGUCACAGUUUCUAGGGGAUUUAGGCCAUAGGCAGCUGGCUCCGAGGGGUCUGGAAGAGGAGGCCUGCUCAUAUCAUUGUAGUCAGGCAACAGAGAGGGUGGAGAGGAGAUGGAGAGGGAGAUGUCCCCAGUGACCUGUGUCUUCCAACUACCCCCCACCCCUUAACAGAAAGUCAGCUGUAGUCCCCUGUAAUGCCCCAGGAUCCAAUCACCUUCCACACACAGGAUCAUGUGGGGGGACAUGUUAGAUCUAAAGUGUAAUAUUCUGCCCCCAUCCCCCAAAUGGAUCAUGUCCAUCUCUUAUGCAUUUAUUCCCUCUCUAAGAGUCACCUGAAUUUUGAGAGUUCCAGCACUGCUGAAAAGUCCAAGUCCAGCAUCUCCUCUGAGACUGAAGGCAGACUCUCAGCUGUGAGCACCUCUAAAAAUCAAAAUGAAAAUAAAACACUGCCAACAUACAAUGACACAAGGCAAACAAUCUCAUUCAAAAUAAAGAAAUAGGGGAAUAGGAAGGUAUGAGGCCAAUGCAUGAUUAAAACCCACCAGGGCAAACAUUAGAUCCUUUAGUUCCAUGUCCUGCAGCUGGGGCAGUAUGUAAGCUCCAAAGGGCAUGGAUGGCCUACCCUAGUGGCAUUGCUGGUUGCAGCCCUCAUGGCCUCUUUGUAAGUAACUUCGCUCACUGCCUGUGGCUUUCCUCAGCAGCUGUUCUACAUUCCCAGCAUCCCCAGUUUCCUGGGAUCUCCAUUACACUUUUGGCUUCACUCUCACAACUUCAUGCACUGAUCUCCUAGGCCUUCCUUUGAAAUCUGGAUGAAAGCCUCCCUGAUUCCACAACUCCUGCACUCUGCAUGCCUGAAGAACCAGCACCAUGCAGAUGAUGCCAAAGUCUGCUGCCAGUUCGAGUGGUAGUUGGGCCCCCUUGGGCCAUGGCUACAGAGGUCUCUGAGUGCCUAGAUAGCUGAGCCCUGUGACACCAAUCCUGAGGAACCCAUUUUCUGGGUGUCUCUUCUUAAGCAGGGGUCCUAGAUCCUCUCUUCUAGAAUGAAAACUCCAGAAGUUUGCACCCUUGAGCCCUUGAGGAAGGCUUGGAUCUUGCUGAUUCCUGAAAUUCCCUCAAGACAUCUUUUCUAUUGUCUUGACACAAAGUGCUUGGCUUCUUUUUAAUGCCAACCUUUUUAGCAAACAUACUUUUCAAGGCCCCAACUUCGCAGCUGCUCCUUUUCAGAUGAAACUGCAAAAUUUUCACAUCUGCUUUUUCCUCCUGUUUCUCACUGAGAUCUGACUAAAAAGCCACCACCAGUACCAGUGCCACAGCCUGAGCGUCGGCCUGCCUCGAAAUUUCCUUCAAAGGGUUAAUUAGCCCACCACCUUUAAUCUCAGUCUCCUGCAAAGUCUCAGGACAUGAAAAAAAUGUAGACAAAUUUUUCUGCCAGAGUGUAACCUAAGCGGCCUCAAGUCCAAAUGCCAGUGGGGUCGUUGUUCCCAACUUAAACCUGAGCCUGGCCGUUACUGUCCGCAUUUCUAUUAGCAUUCUGCUCUGAGCUCUGACUAGAAUCUCCCAUCAAGCUUGGCUUACAACUCUCUCUCUCUCUCUCCCC